AGAGAGGUGGCCGAGUGGUCGAAGGCGCACGCUUGGAAAGCGUGUAUACGCCAAAAGCGUAUCGAGGGUUCGAAUCCCUUCCUCUCUGCAA
rnacentral:tRNA from 1 species